rnacentral:lncRNA from 1 species
CUGAGAUCACGCCACACCCCACAGCCUGCAGCCUGGGCGACAGAGCGAGUCUGUCUCAAAAAAAAUAAAAAUAAAUAAAUAAAUAAAACUGAGGUGCAAAGUUUAAAGGUUUGGGUGACACAUCAGAGGCAGACUUGGGGAAGAAGUGUCUGUCCCACCCUCCCAGACCACAUCCUCUAAGGGCUUGGGCCCCGGGGAUGCUGGGUGGCCCCUUGGAACUGUGAGGAGCUGACACAUGGGUGGGGACCAGAGGAGGGGACGUGGAGAGCCCUGGUGAGGAUGUGGGCGCUGGUGGGGACUGCCUGGUGUGUGAUGGGGACAGGAACAGGCAUGGAGAUGGCCCACACCCGAGACAGUGGGCUCCUGGGGCCACCUCUUCUCCACACGGCGGCAGCAGGUCUAGUUCGGGCCUAACAGCCCAGCCAUCCCUGAGAGCCAGCGCCGAGGGUGCAGCAGCUGCCUCCUCUCCGGGCCCACCGGACGGUCGCCGUCCUGCCAGGAGCUCCCGUGCCCAUCGCCAGAGAGGGAAAUGCUCCUUGGUCUCAGGAGGCAGCGGGGCCCGGGACUCACAUGGACCUGGGCCCAAGUCGACCAGUUCCAGCUGGGCACACUGGGAAGGUCACCCACCUCCCGAGCCCUCCAUGUCCAGGCCAUUGUGGGAAAACCCUCUCCAACAGGGGAGUGAAGGGACAGGAUGGAGCGGGAGCGGCGCCAAAGCACGGGGAGAACCAGAGGCCGCAGGAAUGGCAGACUCUGGACAUGCUCCUAGAGAUGGGAGGUCAAAAUGAUCAACGUUCAGGGUCCCUUCAUCUCAGAGGGUCUCGAGUCACCUCAUUUAAAGUGUGGCCUGGGACACCUCCUAUCCAGCCAUACGCCGCCCAGGACUGGCUCAACAGCUCCACCCUCCACUGCUGUUCACCCAUGACACGUCACUUCCCACCCGCCACUGCUGGCUCACCUGUGACACCCCAGGCAGCUCAGAUGCCCGGCAGGUCCUGCUGGUGUGUGUUAGCCGGGGUCUCCAAAGAACCAGAGCCAGCAGGGGACACACCCAUCUCUGUAUCUGGAGAAAAAGAUCGAUGAGAAGGAAUCUGCUCCUGUGAUGAUGGAGGCUGACAAGUCCCGAGAGCCACGUAUUUCCUCAGCUGAGUGCAUGGGGCCAGACCACACUGGGGAGGGCAGUCAGCGUCACUCAGAGCACCGGGUCAUCUCAUGCAGAAACACCCUCAAAGAAAUAGCCCAAAUUAUGCUGACCAAAUAUCUGGGCACCCCGUGCCCCAGACAAGUUGACACAGAAAAUUAACCAUCACAGGUUAACUCCAUCCAGGAGUGGAAUUGCUGGGUCAUAGAGAAGGCAUAGGAAUUCACAGAAAUCACCAAACGGUUUUCAGGCGGUUGUGCCAUGUUAAACUCCCACUGGAAAGAGAGGAGAGCUGUGAUUGUUCCACGUCCUCAGCAACGUUUAGAAUAGGCAGUCUUUGGCCGGGCCGGGCACAGAGGCUCAAACCUGUAACCCCAGCACUUUGGGAGGCCAUAGUGGGUGGAUUACCUGAGAUCAAGAGUUCAAGACCAGCCUGGCCAACAUGGUUAAACCCCGUCUCUAUUAAAAAUGCAAAAAUUAGCCAGGCGUGGUGGUGCGUGCCUGUAAUUCCAGCUACUUGGGGGCUGAGGCAGGAGAAUCGUUUGAACCCAGGAGGCAGAGUUUGCAGCGAGCCGAGAUCGCGCCACUGCACUCCAGCCUGGGCAACAGAAUGAGACUCUGUCUCCAAAAAAAGAAAAAAUAAAUAAAGAAAAGUCAUUCUGUAGUUUUAGCCUUUGUGAAGGCAUGAAGUGGCAUCUCAUUAUGGUUUAAAUGCUUAUUUCGCUGGUGACUAAUGAGGCUGACCAGUUUUUCACUGCAUUUAGCCCUUUCAAUGCACUUCAGGUCUGUGAAGUACUUGUUCAAGUGUAUUGCCCAUUUUAAAAAUUGGUUUGUUUAUCUUUUUCUUAUCAAUUUG